rnacentral:rRNA from 1 species
UUUUAUAAUUAAUAAAGUUAUAUUUAAUAAAAAUAAUUUUAAUUUAAUAAAUAUUUUAAUGGGGGUUAAAGUAUUUUUAAAGAAAAAAUUUUUAAAUUUAUAGUUAAUUAGUAUUGUGAAAGAAUUUUGAAAUAUUUGAAAAUAUAAUUUUAAUAAAGUAAUUUUAAUUUGUUGUAUCUUGUGUAUCAGAGUUUAUUAAAAAUUUUUAAUUUUUAAUUUCUCGAAUUUGAAAGAGUUAGAUAAUUAUUAAAGUUAUUGUAGCAAAAUUAUUUUAAAUAGUUAUUUAGAAAUGAAAUGUUAAUCGUUUUUAAAUAUAUCUAGUUUUUAUAGAAAAAAUUUUAAUUUUAAAUUUAAUUUUAUUAUUAAUUUAUUUAUUAAUUAAAUAUUUAUUUAAAUUUUAUAAUUUAAGGGAUAAGCUUUAAAUUAAAUUUUUAUAAUAAAAUUUAUUUAUUUUGAAAAUUUUAUAAUUUAAAUUGUUAAUAAAUUAUAUUUUAUUAUAAAUAAUUUCAUAUAAAAAAAAAUUUAAAUUUUUGUUUAAUUUUAUAUAUAAAAUUUAUUUUUAAUUGUAAAAGAUUAGUUAUAAUGAUAAAAUUAGUAUAUUUAUAAUUUUUAAUUAUUGAUUUAAUUAAUUAAAAGGAAUUCGGCAAAUAUUUAUUUUCACUUGUUUAUCAAAAACAUGUCUUUUUGUUAAUUUAAAGUCUAAUCUGCCCACUGAUAAUUAAAGGGCUGCAGUAUUUUGACUGUACAAAGGUAGCAUACUCUUUAGUCUCUUAAUUGGUGACUUGUAUGAAAGAUUGGGUGAAAAAUAUACUGUCUCUUAAUUAGUGUAUAGAAUUUAAUUUUUUAAUUUAAAAGGUAAAAUAAAUUAAAAAGACGAGAAGACCCUAUAGAGUUUUAUAAAAAUAAUUUUAUAAAUUUAUUUAUUUUAUUGGGGUGAUAGAAAAAUAAAUAUAACUUUUUUUAAAAAAUUUAACAAAAAUAAAUGAUUAAUUGAUCCAAUUUAUUAUUGAUUAUAAGAUUAAAUUACCUUAGGGAUAACAGGGUAAUUUUUUUUUUUAGUUCAAAUAAAAAAAAAAGUUUGCGACCUCGAUGUUGGAUUAAGAUAAAAUUUAAAUGCAAAAGUUUAAAAUUUUUGAUCUGUUCGAUCAUU